GAUGAAGAACGCAGCGAAAUGCGAUAAGUAAUGUGAAUUGCAGAAUUCAGUGAAUCAUCGAAUCUUUGAACGCACCUUGCGCCCUUUGGCCAUUCCGAAGGGCAUGCCUGUUUGAGUAUCAUGAACACCUCAACUCUUCAUGGUUUUCCGUGAUGAGCUUGGACUUUGGGUGUCUUGCUGGCCUAUGGUCAGCUCCUCUAAAAUAAAUCAGCUUGCCAGUGUUUGGUGGGUAUCACAGGUGUGAUAACUAUCUACGCUUGUGGUUUUCCACCAGGUAACCUUCAGCAGUGGAGGUUCGCUGGAGCUCACAGAUGUGUCUCUCCUCAGUGAGGACAGCUCUUUGAAUGUUUGAUCUCAAAUCAGGUAGGACUACCCGCUGAACUUAAGCAUAUCAAUAAGCGGAGGA
rnacentral:misc_RNA from 1 species